UAUGAAGGGGGCUAGCGUUGCUCGGAAUCACUGGGCGUAAAGGGUGCGUAGGCGGGUCUUUAAGUCAAGGGUGAAAUCCUGGAGCUCAACUCCAGAACUGCCUUCGAUACUGAGAGUCUCGAGUCCGGGAGAGGUGAGUGGAACUGCGAGUGUAGAGGUGAAAUUCGUAGAUAUUCGCAAGAACACCAGUGGCGAAGGCGGCUCACUGGCCCGGUACUGACGCUGAGGUGCGAAAGCGUGGGGAGCAAACAGG
rnacentral:rRNA from 1 species